GCUGGGUGUGGUGACCCAUGCCUGUAAUCCCAGUGGCUCUGGAAGCUGAGGCAGGAGGACUGGGAGUUCAAAGCCAGCCUCGGUAAUGGCAAGGUGCUAAGCAAUUUAGUGAGACCCUGUCUCAA
rnacentral:sRNA from 1 species